GAUCUCAAUUCAUACGUGACCCCCCCUUGUUUUCAACCUUAUUAACCCGCGGAGAAAAAAAAACUACCCGGG
rnacentral:rRNA from 1 species